rnacentral:rRNA from 1 species
UACGUAGGGUGCAAGCGUUGUCCGGAAUUAUUGGGCGUAAAGAGCUCGUAGGCGGUUUGUCGCGUCUGCUGUGAAAACCCGAGGCUCAACCUCGGGCCUGCAGUGGGUACGGGCAGACUAGAGUGCGGUAGGGGAGAUUGGAAUUCCUGGUGUAGCGGUGAAAUGCGCAGAUAUCAGGAGGAACACCGGUGGCGAAGGCGGUGGUCUGGGCCGGAACUGACGCUGAGGAGCGAAAGCGUGGGGAGCGAACAGG